rnacentral:rRNA from 1 species
UACGUAGGGUCCGAGCGUUGUCCGGAAUUAUUGGGCGUAAAGGGCUCGUAGGCGGUUCGUCGCGUCGGGAGUGAAAACUCAGGGCUUAACCCUGAGCCUGCUUCCGAUACGGGCAGACUAGAGGUAUGCAGGGGAGAACGGAAUUCCUGGUGUAGCGGUGAAAUGCGCAGAUAUCAGGAGGAACACCGGUGGCGAAGGCGGGUCUCUGGGCCGAUACUGACGCUGAGGAGCGAAAGCGUGGGGAGCGAACAGG